rnacentral:tRNA from 2 species
GGGCCCAUAGGUAAGUGGUAUACCGUACCCUUCGCAUGGGUGAGUCGCCGGUUCGACUCCGGCUGGGUCCA